rnacentral:tRNA from 1 species
GCCUGGCUGGCUCAAUCAGUGGAGCGUGUGACUUUUGAUCUUGGGGUUGUGGGUUUGAGCCCCUCGCUGGGCA